CGAUAAAACCAGGGUCGGAGACAUACCAAGAGUCCAUCGGGCGAGUCGGGCGUGAGAGUCAUCCCCAGGAUGUUGGCGCUCACCUAAAUUCAACUUGCUGCAGUUGGGGUGGCUCCCCUCUCCCACGCCACAUUUGUACACGUCUCCUUUCCUGUUGUUGUGCCGCCCGUCCCAAGGAGCGCCCACCAGCAUUCUGCAUGGCCACAAUACGAAAUCACGGAGAAGCCGAAAAGGGCGUCGUCCGGACCGCUGAAGAUCCGCGGAUGCGUCACGUCAAUGUUGAAGCACUGACACAAGCCUGGAGAAUUGAGC